rnacentral:lncRNA from 1 species
ACUAACACAAUCUAAUUAUACCCUUAACAUAAAUUCAUAUUAAACUCAAGUCUACUCAGUAGUAAAUAGUACCCCAUAAAAUAAAAUUAUUGCAGGGUUGUCCAUGAAGAGCCUAUUACUUCCGAGUAAUAUAACAACAACAAAAAAAAAAUGGCACCUUUAUGACUUUAUAUCUUAAAUUGGUGAGGAGUGGUAGCAUAUGCCUAUAAUCCCAGCAACUUGGGAGACCGAGGCAGGAGGAUCCAAAGUUCAAGACCAGCCUCAGCAA